rnacentral:rRNA from 1 species
GAUGAACGCUGGCGGCGUGCCUAAUACAUGCAAGUCGAGCGAACAGAUGAGGAGCUUGCUCCUCUGACGUUAGCGGCGGACGGGUGAGUAACACGUGGAUAACCUACCUAUAAGACUGGGAUAACUUCGGGAAACCGGAGCUAAUACCGGAUAAUCUAUUGAACCGCAAGGUUCAAUAGUGAAAGACGGUUUUGCUGUCACUUAUAGAUGGAUCCGCGCCGCAUUAGCUAGUUGGUAAGGUAACGGCUUACCAAGGCAACGAUGCGUAGCCGACCUGAGAGGGUGAUCGGCCACACUGGAACUGAGACACGGUCCAGACUCCUACGGGAGGCAGCAGUAGGGAAUCUUCCGCAAUGGGCGAAAGCCUGACGGAGCAACGCCGCGUGAGUGAUGAAGGUCUUCGGAUCGUAAAACUCUGUUAUUAGGGAAGAACAAAUGUGUAAGUAACUAUGCACGUCUUGACGGUACCUAAUCAGAAAGCCCCGGCUAACUACGUG